GGUUCCAUAGCUUAAUCAACUAAAGCAUGGCCCUGAAAAGGCCAAGUCGGCCCACAAUCCUGGAACCA
rnacentral:tRNA from 1 species